rnacentral:rRNA from 1 species
GUGCCAGCAGCCGCGGUAAUACCGGCAGCUCAAGUGAUGUCCCAUCUUAUUGGGCCUAAAGCGUCCGUAGCUGGCCGCCCAAGUCCCUCGGGAAAUCCACCCGCCCAACGGGUGGGCGUCCGGCAGAAACUGGACGGCUUGGGACCGGAAGGCUCAGAGAGUACGUCCGGGGUAGGAGUGAAAUCCCGUAAUCCCGGACGGACUACCGAUGGCGAAAGCACUUCGAGAAGACGGAUCCGACAGUGAGGGACGAAAGCCAGGGUCUCGAACCGGAUUAGAUACCCUAGUAGUCC